GUAUUUUCGAGCCUGCGGUUUCUCAGCGGUUAUAAGGACAAAAGAUAGAAGGAAAUCCCGCAUUGUUUGACAACUAUUUCCUUUACACUGGGAACAAGGAACAUGAAUCCAAACAA